CUUCAGGGAGCCGAGCCACAGCGGCCGCCCCGCCUGCCUGCCCCUUCCGUACACCGACUGCAGCGCCCGUGCCUC
rnacentral:antisense_RNA from 1 species